rnacentral:lncRNA from 10 species
GGCGUGAGCCACUGCACCUAGCCUGGGGAAUAUAUUUCUGUAAGAUUUCUAAAAUCCUUCCUCACUCCCCAUCUAAUACUGUGACUUGGAUUUGGGGGUGAAGAGCAGUUAGGGGCAAGGAGGCCAGCCUCGGACCGCAGCUCAGUCAGACCCUUGACAGUUUCUGAUCUUCCUGAACCCCCAUCCCGUGGCCUCAGUUUUCUCCUCCACAGCCUGGUUCCCCAAAAUCACCAGGGCACUUUGUGGUGGGAAAUCACCCACACAAGGGGACAAACAAGGGGACUGAAAGCAAAAAGAAACCCCAAAUUUGACAUUUCUGGGUAGUUGUGUUAUCUGGAGCCACGACUACAGUCACCUCUUCCCAACCCAACUCUGACACCCUUCCCUCUACUCCCUUGGGUGCCCUUUGCCCAUCCUGGGAAAGUUCCAUAGCUCCUCCUCCUCCCCACUGCAUCUCAAAGGGAGAACAGGCCUGAAGAAAUGGAGAGAAACCCAGACAGAAUCAGAGAACCAGAUGGAGACCUAAGGAGACAAGGGAGAGACACAGAGAGAAUAAAAGCCAGAGUGGGGGCCGGGCAUGGUAGCUGAUGCCUGUAAUUC